AUUGAACGCUGGCGGCAGGCCUAACACAUGCAAGUCGAACGGUAACAGGAAACAGCUUGCUGUUUCGCUGACGAGUGGCGGACGGGUGAGUAAUGUCUGGGAAACUGCCUGAUGGAGGGGGAUAACUACUGGAAACGGUAGCUAAUACCGCAUAACGUCGCAAGACCAAAGAGGGGGACCCACGGGCCUCUUGCCAUCGGAUGUGCCCAGAUGGGUUUAGCUUGUUGGUGGGGUAACGGCUCACCAAGGCGACGAUCCCUAGCUGGUCUGAGAGGAUGACCAGCCCCACUGGACCUGAGACACGGUCCAGACUCCUACGGGAGGCAGCAGUGGGGAAUAUUGCACAAUGGGCGCAAGCCUGAUGCAGCCAUGCCGCGUGUAUGAAGAAGGCCUUCGGGUUGUAAAGUACUUUCCGCGGGGAGGAAGGGAGUAAAGUUAAUACCUUUGCUCAUGGACGUUACCCGCAGAAGAAGCACCGGCUAACUCCGU
rnacentral:rRNA from 1 species